AACGCACAUUGCGCCCCUCGGUAUUCCGUGGGGCAUGCCUGUUCGAGCGUCAUUUAACCCCUCAAGCCUAGCUUGGUAUUGGGUGCUUGUCCCGCCUCUCGCGCGGCGACUCACCUCAAAGUCAUUGGCAGCCCGCAUCUCGCCGGCCGUGAGCGCAGCACAGACGCGCUCUUGGCAACGUCGGAUCGGCUCUCCAAAAGCUUAUUUCAACCACUGACCUCGGAUCAGGUAGGGAUACCCGCUGAACUUAA
rnacentral:misc_RNA from 1 species